rnacentral:rRNA from 1 species
GACAGAGGGUGCAAACGUUAUUCGGAAUUACUGGGCUUAAAGGGUGCGUAGGCGGCGCGGAAAGUUGGGUGUGAAAUCCCUCAGCUCAACCGAGGAACUGCGCCCAAUACUACCGUGCUCGAGGGAGAUAGAGGUGAGCGGAACUUAGGGUGGAGCGGUGAAAUGCGUUGAUAUCCUAAGGAACACCGGUGGCGAAAGCGGCUCACUGGAUCUCUUCUGACGCUGAGGCACGAAAGCUAGGGUAGCGAACGGG